rnacentral:rRNA from 1 species
UAGGGAAUCUUCGGCAAUGGACGGAAGUCUGACCGAGCAACGCCGCGUGAGUGAAGAAGGUUUUCGGAUCGUAAAGCUCUGUUGUAAGAGAAGAACGAGUGUGAGAGUGGAAAGUUCACACUGUGACGGUAUCUUACCAGAAAGGGACGGCUAACUACGUGCCAGCAGCCGCGGUAAUACGUAGGUCCCGAGCGUUGUCCGGAUUUAUUGGGCGUAAAGCGAGCGCAGGCGGUUAGAUAAGUCUGAAGUUAAAGGCUGUGGCUUAACCAUAGUACGCUUUGGAAACUGUUUAACUUGAGUGCAAGAGGGGAGAGUGGAAUUCCAUGUGUAGCGGUGAAAUGCGUAGAUAUAUGGAGGAACACCGGUGGCGAAAGCGGCUCUCUGGCUUGUAACUGACGCUGAGGCUCGAAAGCGUGGGGAGCAAACAGGAUUAGAUACCCUGGUAGUCCACGCCGUAAACGAUGAGUGCUAGGUGUUAGACCCUUUCCGGGGCUUAGUGCCGUAGCUAACGCAUUAAGCACUCCGCCUGGGGAGUACGACCGCAAGGUUG